rnacentral:rRNA from 1 species
GGGUUGUGAGGUUAAGCGACUAAGCGUACACGGUGGAUGCCCUGGCAGUCAGAGGCGAUGAAGGACGUGCUAAUCUGCGAAAAGCGUCGGUAAGGUGAUAUGAACCGUUACAGCCGGCGAUGUCCGAAUGGGGAAACCCAGUGUGAUUCGUCACACUAUCGUUAACUGAAUACAUAGGUUAACGAGGCGAACCGGGGGAACUGAAACAUCUAAGUACCCCGAGGAAAAGAAAUCAACCGAGAUUCCCCCAGUAGCGGCGAGCGAACGGGGAGCAGCCCAGAGUCUGAAUCAGCUUGUGUGUUAGUGGAACGGUCUGGAAAGUCCGACGGUACAGGGUGAUAGUCCCGUACACCAAAAUGCACAGGCUGUGAACUCGAAGAGUAGGGCGGGACACGUGGUAUCCUGUCUGAAUAUGGGGGGACCAUCCUCCAAGGCUAAAUACUCCUGACUGACCGAUAGUGAACCAGUACCGUGAGGGAAAGGCGAAAAGAACCCCGGCGAGGGGAGUGAAAAAGAACCUGAAACCGUGUACGUACAAGCAGUGGGAGCACCUUCGGGUGUGACUGCGUACCUUUUGUAUAAUGGGUCAGCGACUUAUAUUCUGUAGCAAGGUUAACCGUAUAGGGGAGCCGCAGGGAAACCGAGUCUUAACUGGGCGUUAAGUUGCAGGGUAUAGACCCGAAACCCGGUGAUCUAGCCAUGGGCAGGUUGAAGGUUGGGUAACACUAACUGGAGGACCGAACCGACUAAUGUUGAAAAAUUAGCGGAUGACUUGUGGCUGGGGGUGAAAGGCCAAUCAAACCGGGAGAUAGCUGGUUCUCCCCGAAAGCUAUUUAGGUAGCGCCUCGUGAAUUCAUCUUCGGGGGUAGAGCACUGUUUCGGCUAGGGGGUCAUCCCGACUUACCAACCCGAUGCAAACUACGAAUACCGAAGAAUGUUAUCACGGGAGACACACGGCGGGUGCUAACGUCCGUCGUGAAGAGGGAAACAACCCAGACCGCCAGCUAAGGUCCCAAAGUCAUGGUUAAGUGGGAAACGAUGUGGGAAGGCACAGACAGCCAGGAUGUUGGCUUAGAAGCAGCCAUCAUUUAAAGAAAGCGUAAUAGCUCACUGGUCGAGUCGGCCUGCGCGGAAGAUGUAACGGGGCUAAACCAUGCACCGAAGCUGCGGCAGCGACACUAUGUGUUGUUGGGUAGGGGAGCGUUCUGUAAGCCUGCGAAGGUGACCUGUGAGGGUUGCUGGAGGUAUCAGAAGUGCGAAUGCUGACAUAAGUAACGAUAAAGCGGGUGAAAAGCCCGCUCGCCGGAAGACCAAGGGUUCCUGUCCAACGUUAAUCGGGGCAGGGUGAGUCGACCCCUAAGGCGAGGCCGAAAGGCGUAGUCGAUGGGAAACAGGUUAAUAUUCCUGUACUUGGUGUUACUGCGAAGGGGGGACGGAGAAGGCUAUGUUAGCCGGGCGACGGUUGUCCCGGUUUAAGCAUGUAGGCUGGUUAUCCAGGCAAAUCCGGAUAAUCAAGGCUGAGGUGUGAUGACGAGGCACUACGGUGCUGAAGUAACAAAUGCCCUGCUUCCAGGAAAAGCCUCUAAGCAUCAGGUAACAUCAAAUCGUACCCCAAACCGACACAGGUGGUCAGGUAGAGAAUACCAAGGCGCUUGAGAGAACUCGGGUGAAGGAACUAGGCAAAAUGGUGCCGUAACUUCGGGAGAAGGCACGCUGGUGUGUAGGUGAAGUCCCUGCGGAUGGAGCUGAGACCAGUCGAAGAUACCAGCUGGCUGCAACUGUUUAUUAAAAACACAGCACUGUGCAAACACGAAAGUGGACGUAUACGGUGUGACGCCUGCCCGGUGCCGGAAGGUUAAUUGAUGGGGUUAUCCGUAAGGAGAAGCUCUUGAUCGAAGCCCCGGUAAACGGCGGCCGUAACUAUAACGGUCCUAAGGUAGCGAAAUUCCUUGUCGGGUAAGUUCCGACCUGCACGAAUGGCGUAAUGAUGGCCAGGCUGUCUCCACCCGAGACUCAGUGAAAUUGAACUCGCUGUGAAGAUGCAGUGUACCCGCGGCAAGACGGAAAGACCCCGUGAACCUUUACUAUAGCUUGACACUGAACAUUGAGCCUUGAUGUGUAGGAUAGGUGGGAGGCUUUGAAGCGUGGACGCCAGUCUGCGUGGAGCCAACCUUGAAAUACCACCCUUUAAUGUUUGAUGUUCUAACGUUGGCCCCUUACCGGGGUUGCGGACAGUGUCUGGUGGGUAGUUUGACUGGGGCGGUCUCCUCCCAAAGCGUAACGGAGGAGCACGAAGGUUAGCUAAUCCUGGUCGGACAUCAGGAGGUUAGUGCAAUGGCAUAAGCUAGCUUGACUGCGAGCGUGACGGCGCGAGCAGGUGCGAAAGCAGGUCAUAGUGAUCCGGUGGUUCUGAAUGGAAGGGCCAUCGCUCAACGGAUAAAAGGUACUCCGGGGAUAACAGGCUGAUACCGCCCAAGAGUUCAUAUCGACGGCGGUGUUUGGCACCUCGAUGUCGGCUCAUCACAUCCUGGGGCUGAAGUAGGUCCCAAGGGUAUGGCUGUUCGCCAUUUAAAGUGGUACGCGAGCUGGGUUUAGAACGUCGUGAGACAGUUCGGUCCCUAUCUGCCGUGGGCGCUGGAGAAUUGAGGGGGGCUGCUCCUAGUACGAGAGGACCGGAGUGGACGCAUCACUGGUGUUCGGGUUGUCAUGCCAAUGGCACUGCCCGGUAGCUAAAUGCGGAAGAGAUAAGUGCUGAAAGCAUCUAAGCACGAAACUUGCCCCGAGAUGAGUUCUCCCUGAGACUUUAAGUCUCCUGAAGGAACGUUGAAGACGACGACGUUGAUAGGCCGGGUGUGUAAGCGCAGCGAUGCGUUGAGCUAACCGGUACUAAUGAACCGUGAGGCUUAACCUUACAACGCCGAAG